rnacentral:rRNA from 1 species
GGUGCAGCUGCGGCACUCUGCCGAGACCAUAAUGGCGUCUAUCUGGGGUCGUCGGCUAUGGCCUUUUCAGAUAUUUCUGGCCCAGGGACGCUAGAGGCGCUAGCUUGUCGAGAAGCGCUGAACCUAGCUUUGGAUUUAUCAGUUGAACACAUUAUCAUCGCAUGUGAUAACAAGACUGUGGUGGCGGAUAUCAAUAACGGAACUGAAGGCCCAUACAGUGCCAUUAUCAAGGAGAUUCGUGCCAGGGCGAGGAGUUUCAGAAGCUAUGAGUUUAUUUUUGAAGGUCGGGCGAGGAACAUUGAUGCCCAUAAUUUAGCUAAAUUUUCGUCUUCUUUAGAUGUUGGUCGCCAUUUGUGGCUGGGAGUACCCCAUGACCAGUUUGUUAUUCCUGUAAACCGUUCGGCAUCGCCAUAA